UUAGCUCAUAUUUAUAUGGAAUGGGAUCGUUUGCGUAUGUUUGAGGCUAGGGACGCUGUUCCAAUUGCAUAAAAAAAUUGGCUU
rnacentral:pre_miRNA from 1 species